rnacentral:rRNA from 1 species
GGGCGUUAAGUUGCAGGGUAUAGACCCGAAACCCGGUGAUCUAGCCAUGGGCAGGUUGAAGGUUGGGUAACACUAACUGGAGGACCGAACCGACUAAUGUUGAAAAAUUAGCGGAUGACCUGUGGCUGGGGGUGAAAGGCCAAUCAAACCGGGAGAUAGCUGGUUCUCCCCGAAAGCUAUUUAGGUAGCGCCUCGUGAAUUCAUCUCCGGGGGUAGAGCACUGUUUCGGCUAGGGGGCCAUCCCGGCUUACCAACCCGAUGCAAACUGCGAAUACCGGAGAAUGUUAUCACGGGAGACACACGGCGGGUGCUAACGUCCGUCGUGAAGAGGGAAACAACCCAGACCGCCAGCUAAGGUCCCAAAGUCAUGGUUAAGUGGGAAACGAUGUGGGAAGGCCCAGACAGCCAGGAUGUUGGCUUAGAAGCAGCCAUCAUUUAAAGAAAGCGUAAUAGCUCACUGGUCGAGUCGGCCUGCGCGGAAGAUGUAACGGGGCUAAACCAUGCACCGAAGCUGCGGCAGCGACGCUUAUGCGUUGUUGGGUAGGGGAGCGUUCUGUAAGCCUGUGAAGGUGGCCUGUGAGGGUUGCUGGAGGUAUCAGAAGUGCGAAUGCUGACAUAAGUAACGAUAAAGCGGGUGAAAAGCCCGCUCGCCGGAAGACCAAGGGUUCCUGUCCAACGUUAAUCGGGGCAGGGUGAGUCGACCCCUAAGGCGAGGCCGAAAGGCGUAGUCGAUGGGAAACGGGUUAAUAUUCCCGUACUUGGUGUUACUGCGAAGGGGGGACGGAGAAGGCUAUGUUGGCCGGGCGACGGUUGUCCCGGUUUAAGCGUGUAGGUGUGUGUUCCAGGUAAAUCCGGUUCACUUUAACACUGAGGCGUGACGACGAGGCACUACGGUGCUGAAGCAACAAAUGCCCUGCUUCCAGGAAAAGCCUCUAAGCAUCAGGUAACAUCAAAUCGUACCCCAAACCGACACAGGUGGUCAGGUAGAGAAUACCAAGGCGCUUGAGAGAACUCGGGUGAAGGAACUAGGCAAAAUGGUGCCGUAACUUCGGGAGAAGGCACGCUGACACGUAGGUGAAGUGAUUUACUCAUGGAGCUGAAGUCAGUCGAAGAUACCAGCUGGCUGCAACUGUUUAUUAAAAACACAGCACUGUGCAAACACGAAAGUGGACGUAUACGGUGUGACGCCUGCCCGGUGCCGGAAGGUUAAUUGAUGGGGUCAGCGCAAGCGAAGCUCCUGAUCGAAGCCCCGGUAAACGGCGGCCGUAACUAUAACGGUCCUAAGGUAGCGAAAUUCCUUGUCGGGUAAGUUCCGACCUGCACGAAUGGCGUAAUGAUGGCCAGGCUGUCUCCACCCGAGACUCAGUGAAAUUGAACUCGCUGUGAAGAUGCAGUGUACCCGCGGCAAGACGGAAAGACCCCGUGAACCUUUACUAUAGCUUGACACUGAACAUUGAGCCUUGAUGUGUAGGAUAGGUGGGAGGCUUUGAAGCGUGGACGCCAGUCUGCGUGGAGCCGACCUUGAAAUACCACCCUUUAAUGUUUGAUGUUCUAACGUGGACCCGUGAUCCGGGUUGCGGACAGUGUCUGGUGGGUAGUUUGACUGGGGCGGUCUCCUCCUAAAGAGUAACGGAGGAGCACGAAGGUUGGCUAAUCCUGGUCGGACAUCAGGAGGUUAGUGCAAUGGCAUAAGCCAGCUUGACUGCGAGCGUGACGGCGCGAGCAGGUGCGAAAGCAGGUCAUAGUGAUCCGGUGGUUCUGAAUGGAAGGGCCAUCGCUCAACGGAUAAAAGGUACUCCGGGGAUAACAGGCUGAUACCGCCCAAGAGUUCAUAUCGACGGCGGUGUUUGGCACCUCGAUGUCGGCUCAUCACAUCCUGGGGCUGAAGUAGGUCCCAAGGGUAUGGCUGUUCGCCAUUUAAAGUGGUACGCGAGCUGGGUUUAGAACGUCGUGAGACAGUUCGGUCCCUAUCUGCCGUGGGCGCUGGAGAACUGAGGGGGGCUGCUCCUAGUACGAGAGGACCGGAGUGGACGCAUCACUGGUGUUCGGGUUGUCAUGCCAAUGGCACUGCCCGGUAGCUAAAUGCGGAAGAGAUAAGUGCUGAAAGCAUCUAAGCACGAAACUUGCCCCGAGAUGAGUUCUCCCUGAGACUUAGAGUCUCCUGAAGGAACGUUGAAGACGACGACGUUGAUAGGCCGGGUGUGUAAGCGCAGCGAUGCGUUGAGCUAACCGGUACUAAUGAACCGUGAGGCUUAACCUUACAACGCCGAAG